CGGAGGUGCAAGCGUUAAUCGGAAUUACUGGGCGUAAAGCGCACGCAGGCGGUUGGAUAAGUUAGAUGUGAAAGCCCCGGGCUCAACCUGGGAAUUGCAUUUAAACUGUCCAGCUAGAGUCUUGUAGAGGGGGUAGAAUUCCAGGUGUAGCGGUGAAAUGCGUAGAGAUCUGGAGGAAUACCGGUGGCGAAGGCGGCCCCUGGACAAAGACUGACGCUCAGGUGCGAAAGCGUGGGGAGCAAACAGGAUU
rnacentral:rRNA from 1 species